rnacentral:rRNA from 1 species
GCCUACGGGAGGCAGCAGUGGGGAAUUUUUCGCAAUGGGGGCAACCCUGACGAAGCAAUGCCGCGUGGAUGAAGAAGGCCUUCGGGUUGUAAAGUCCUUUCGUGGGGGACGAAAAGGCGGGUCCUAAUACG